rnacentral:rRNA from 1 species
UACGUAGGGUGCAAGCGUUGUCCGGAAUUAUUGGGCGUAAAGAGCUCGUAGGCGGUUUUUCAAGUCAGUGGUGAAAGCCCGGAGCUCAACUCCGGAACUGCCAUUGAAACUGUGAAACUUGAGGAUGAGAGAGGUGAGUGGAAUUCCCAGUGUAGAGGUGAAAUUCGUAGAUAUUGGGAAGAACACCGGUGGCGAAGGCGGCUCACUGGCUCAUUUCUGACGCUCAGGCGCGACAGCGUGGGGAUCAAACAGG